rnacentral:tRNA from 1 species
GCCUCGGUAGCGCAGUAGGCAGCGCGGCAGUCUCAUAAUCUGAAGGUCGUGAGUUCGAUCCUCACUCGGGGCA